GUAUAAGAGACAGGUGAGUCAUCGAAUCUUUGAACGCACAUUGCGCCCGCUAGUACUCUAGCGGGCAUGCCUGUUCGAGCGUCAUUUCAACCCUCAAGCUCUGCUUGGUGUUGGGGCCCUACGGCUGCCGUAGGCCCUGAAAAGAAGUGGCGGGCUCGCUACAACUCCGAGCGUAGUAAUUUUUUAUCUCGCUAGGGAAGUGUAGUGUGCUCCUGCCGUUAAAGACCCCAUCUUUAACAAGGUUGACCUCGGAUCAGGUAGGAAUACCCGCUGAACUUAAGCAUAUCAAUAAGCGGAGGA
rnacentral:misc_RNA from 1 species